rnacentral:rRNA from 1 species
UACGGAGGGUGCAAGCGUUAUCCGGAUUCACUGGGUUUAAAGGGUGCGCAGGCGGGAAAUUAAGUCAGUGGUGAAAGCCCCGAGCUCAACUUGGGAACUGCCAUUGAUACUGAUUUUCUUGAAUAUAGUUGAAGUAGGCGGAAUACAACAUGUAGCGGUGAAAUGCAUAGAUAUGUUGUAGAACACCAAUUGCGAAGGCAGCUUACUAAGCUAUCAUUGACGCUGAGGCACGAAAGCGUGGGGAGCGAAC